UACGGAGGGGGCUAGCGUUGUUCGGAAUUACUGGGCGUAAAGCGCACGUAGGCGGCUUUGUAAGUUAGAGGUGAAAGCCCAGGGCUUAACCCUGGAAUUGCCUUUAAGACUGCAUCGCUAGAAUCGUGGAGAGGUAAGUGGAAUUCCCGGUGUAGAGGUGAAAUUCGUAGAUAUCGGGAGGAACACCAGUGGCGAAGGCGGCGAUCUGGGUUGAUACUGACGCUGAGGUGCGAAAGCAUGGGGAGCGAACAGG
rnacentral:rRNA from 1 species